AGCCACAACCAUAUUACUCUGCAGCCUAAGACCAAUUACUUACUGAAGCAGAGCUAAGCCUGGUCAGUACCUGGAUAGGAGAACUCAUGGGAAACUAGGUUGCUGUUGGAA
rnacentral:rRNA from 1 species